rnacentral:rRNA from 1 species
AACGAACGCUGGCGGCGUGCCUAAUACAUGCAAGUCGAGCGGACAGAAGUGAGCUUGCUCCCGGAAGGUAGCGGCGGACGGGUGAGUAACACGUGGGCAACCUACCUUGUAGAUCGGGUUAACAACGAGAAGUCGGUGCUAGUACCUGAUAAUCAUGUGCGGUUCAUGCUUCGAAUGGAAGAGAUGGCUCCGGCUAUCACUACGGGAUGGGGCCGGGGCGGAUUAGCUAGUUGGUAAGGUAAGGGCUUACCAAGGCAACGAUGCGUAGCCGACCUGAGAGGGUGAUCGGCCACACUGGGACUGAGACACGGCCCAGACUCCUACGGGAGGCAGCAGUAGGGAAUCUUCCGCAAUGGACGAAAGUCUGACGGAGCAACGCCGCGUGAGUGAUGAAGGUUUUCGGAUCGUAAAGCUCUGUUGUUAGGGAAGAACAAGUGCCGUUUGAAUAAGGCGGCGCCUUGACGGUACCUAACCAGAAAGCCACGGCUAACUACGUGCCAGCCGCCGCCGUAACAC